rnacentral:rRNA from 1 species
CACGUAGGGCGCAAGCGUUGUCCGGAAUUACUGGGCGUAAAGGGCUCGUAGGUGGCCAACUAAGUCAGACGUGAAAUCCCUCGGCUUAACCGGGGAACUGCGUCUGAUACUGGAUGGCUUGAGUGUGGGAGAGGGAUGCGGAAUUCCAGGUGUAGCGGUGAAAUGCGUAGAUAUCUGGAGGAACACCGGUGGCGAAGGCGGCAUCCUGGACCAUUACUGACACUGAAUAGCGAAAGCCAGGGGAGCAAACGGG